GCCUUCGUGGUGUAGUGGUCAGCACGCUCGAAACGAAUUCGUGAGGUCCGAGGUUCGAGUCCUGGCGAGGGCA